GAUCUAGGAUUUGAUUUAGAUUUGGUUUUAGAUUUGGUUUUGGAUUUGGUCUUUAAUUUGGUUUUGAUUAGAACUUGUGUAGGAUUUUUUUAGGAUUUAGGAUUUUAUUAUGAUUUGACUUAGGAUUUGAUUAUGAUUAAAUUAUGAUUUUAAUUAAGAAUUGACCUAGGAUUUGGCUAUGAUUCAAUUAAGAUUUCAAUUGAGGUUAUAUUAAGGUUUUUAUUUUUAAUAUUUUUUUAGGAUUAUUUGUAUUUCUUUUAUAACUUCUUUUAAAUUUAUUUUGGAUUGGUUAAAGUUUAAUCACGUUUAUUA
rnacentral:lncRNA from 1 species